rnacentral:snRNA from 1 species
AUAGUGGCGGCUAGUGCCGCCUGAUAGGGCUACAAUUCUAAUACAA